UUGACGGGGAGCACCACAACGGGUGGAGCUUGCGGUUUAAUUGGAUUCAACGCCGGAAAUCUUACCGGGACCGACAGCAAUAUGAAGGCCAGGCUGAAGACUUUGCCGGAUUAGCUGAGAGGUGGUGCAUGGCCGUCGUCAGUUCGUACUGUGAAGCAUCCUGUUAAGUCAGGCAACGAGCGAGACCCACGCCCACAGUUGCCAGCGUACUCUCUGGAGUGACGGGUACACUGUGGGGACCGCCGCUGCUAAAGCGGAGGAAGGAAUGGGCAACGGUAGGUCAGUAUGCCCCGAAUAUCCCGGGCUACACGCGAGCUACAAUGGUUGGUACAAUGGGUAUCUACCCCGAAAGGGGACGGGAAUCUCCUAAAACCAAUCUUAGUUCGGAUUGAGGGCUGCAACUCGCCCUCAUGAAGCUGGAAUCCGUAGUAAUCGCGUUUCAACAGAACGCGGUGAAUACGUCCCUGCCCCUU
rnacentral:rRNA from 1 species